AGACCCGAAACCCGGUGAUCUAGCCAUGGGCAGGUUGAAGGUUGGGUAACACUAACUGGAGGACCGAACCGACUAAUGUUGAAAAAUUAGCGGAUGACCUGUGGCUGGGGGUGAAAGGCCAAUCAAACCGGGAGAUAGCUGGUUCUCCCCGAAAGCUAUUUAGGUAGCGCCUCGUGAAUUCAUCUCCGGGGGUAGAGCACUGUUUCGGCUAGGGGGCCAUCCCGGCUUACCAACCCGAUGCAAACUGCGAAUACCGGAGAAUGUUAUCACGGGAGACACACGGCGGGUGCUAACGUCCGUCGUGAAGAGGGAAACAACCCAGACCGCCAGCUAAGGUCCCAAAGUCAUGGUUAAGUGGGAAACGAUGUGGGAAGGCCCAGACAGCCAGGAUGUUGGCUUAGAAGCAGCCAUCAUUUAAAGAAAGCGUAAUAGCUCACUGGUCGAGUCGGCCUGCGCGGAAGAUGUAACGGGGCUAAACCAUGCACCGAAGCUGCGGCAGCGACACUCAGGUGUUGUUGGGUAGGGGAGCGUUCUGUAAGCCUGCGAAGGUGGCCUGUGAGGGUUGCUGGAGGUAU
rnacentral:rRNA from 2 species